GUAGGGAAUUUUGCGCAAUGGACGAAAGUCUGACGCAGCAACUCCGCGUGAGGGAUGAAUGCCUUCGGGUUGUAAACCUCUGUUGAGUGGGAAGAAAGUGUUCUGUGUUAAUAUUGCAGGACAUUGACGGUACCAUUCGAGAAAGCUCCGGCUAACUACGUGCCAGCAGCCGCGGUAAUACGUAGGGAGCAAGCGUUGUUCGGAAUCACUGGGCGUAAAGGGAGCGUAGGUGGAAAGGUAAGUUAGGAGUGAAAUACGGCGGCUUAACCGUCGACUUGCUUUUAAAACUGCUUUUCUUGAGUAUUGGAGAGGAAGAUGGAAUUCCCGGUGUAGCGGUGGAAUGCGUAGAUAUCGGGAAGAACACCAGUUGCGAAGGCGGUCUUCUGGCCAAAUACUGACACUGAGGCUCGAAAGCUAGGGGAGCGAACAGGAUUAGAUACCCCGGUAGUCC
rnacentral:rRNA from 1 species